UAAGUGAAGGCUAUGUUUCGCAAAUCUGCGUCCAGGGUUAAGUGCAUACUAAAACUCAGGCUAGAUGGAGCAUGGGGCACAUCAGGUGAGGUUUUAGAUUUCUGGCUAACCGCUUGACUUUAGUUAAGUUGUACUCAGUUGCAGUAACUAUGGGGGGCUAGUCAGAGUACUGGUCAUAACCGCUGAUUAUUGUUUGAGCUUUAUUUAAGUUGUACGUAGUUAAUCUUAACUAUCGGGGCUAGACAAAGAGUACUAGCAUAACCUCUGAUUAUUGUCUCAGCUUUAAUUAAGUUGUACGUAGUUAUAUGACUGUCGGGGGGGCUAGACAGAUAGUGCUAGCAUAACCGCUGAUUAUUGUGGUGAGCUUUAACUAAGUUGUACAUGGGUAACUGAGGGGGACUAAACGAAAAUACUAUUUCAAAUAUGGUAAGUAUGGGUAACCUAUUAAAUAGUAUUAGUCAUAACCUCUGACUACUGUUUAGACUGGCGAGUUUGUGAUCGUGGGGCACACGUAGAACGGCCGUCGUGGGGCACCCUGAGCGACAUAGAUUCCUAAUGAAAGAGUAAAUAUAAAGUAAAGAGUUAACUAGAAUAAUCCAAUGUCAGAAUAAUAAUAAAAAUAAUUAGAGACAGACAAUCAACCAAUUUGCCUUUCAACCUAAAUUCGAGGUCAUACUAAAAUGGAGUCAGAUGAAAUAUUAAAAUGGAGUCAGAUUAGAAUUGGAUUUAAAUUGAAUAACUCUAUGCGCUAAAAAGACCGAACGUGCAAGAAACCUUCAGCCAGCACCGGAUACCUUCCUUGGACCGAGUGCCUGGACCUUACAGUGUGUGUGUGUGUGUGUGUGUGUGUGUGUAGCAUGCUGGGGGAAGUCUCAGUGAGCUAGCAGGACCGCCACACUCUCACAGAUUUGACAGUGUUUCCUCGGGCUAUUCCAGCAUGGCUGGUUUGAGAGACAGAAGCUUCUGUAGUGAUGAACACCAUGAAAUGGCCCUGUAAUGAAUAAUCACUUUGGUAUAUGUUUCAGUCAGGCCAAGACGCCAUUAGCAGAGUCUGUCUCGCUGGGCGAAAUCAAUUCACACACAAACACACACACACUCAUGUUCUCUGUUUACAACACUGUCACAUCUGAAUUGGACAACUGUGCAGCAAAUGCAAAACAUCCCCCAACAUAGCAUAAAGUAAGCAAGAGAGUUGAGAUAUUUGGGGAGGAAGUUCCUUGCUGUGUGAAAGAAUUAUAAAGAAGAACAACCAAGAUUCAGAGAUGUUGUUCAAAGCCUUUAUUCUGCCUCUUUUUUUCUUUUACCCUGAGGGCACACAGAGACCAUAUGCAUUUAGGUAGUUCCUACUUAUUUCCUAUUGGUAUUAUCCACUUAAAUUAAGGAACCACAACGAUGCAUAUUGCAUGAACUCCCACGAAUGGUUGUUAAUGACAUUCUGUUGUGGCCAACCAUCAGGCCUGUCAGUCAUCAAGAGAAAUAGAAGCCAUUUUCAUUCAAAUACGUACACUACUACCCAUAAUUCUCUCCAGGGAAGACCAUAAUAAUUGUGAAUAAAUGAUACUAAAACACAUGCCAUUAAUAUUAGUGAAGUGUAGUUUGUAAGUGAAUGUAUAUGACUCUUUAAUAGUAAGUCUCAUGCUGUGGUCAACAGUAUUACCUACAGCUUUUCAGAAUAGUUCUCAAAAAGCAAACAAGGUUCUCAGGAACAAUGUCAUUUAUGUCCCCAUGACUUACUAAUAAUAUAAUUAACAUGAUACCGACAUUAUUGUUUUUUUUUAUAUAUAUAUAUUUAUAUUAUUCUACUUUAAUUAAUUAAAAUUGUAAAGUUAUAUUAUUAAAUAUUAAAAUAAAAUAUAACUCAAUUAUUAUUAUUUUUAUUAUUUU
ensembl:lncRNA